AUGAUGAAUUGUCUGGUGUCGGGUUGAACGUAAUUUCAAAUUUUAAUUUUAAAUCUCAAAAUUUGAAGAAUGCUUGACAAUUAUAUAGGAGGAACGUUCAAUCUUGAAUCUGGGGCUUUAUUGGAUAAUUGUAUGGUAUUUGGAUUGUUCUCUUUUUCUAUCUUACUGUACUCAUUUUUUUUAUCUUGUACUCUUCAUUUUACCUUUAACUAAAUUCGGGAGCAUGGGACUUUUUGUCUUAAUUAUUUUCCUCAGGGAAAAAUGGUGGAGUUCCAAGUUGCUAUAAAAAGUAUAAUUCUCAAAAUUAUUCCCUUAUUUCC
rnacentral:lncRNA from 1 species